rnacentral:rRNA from 1 species
CGUGAGUAACCUGCCUUGGAGAGGGGAAUAACACAUCGAAAGAUGUGCUAAUACCGCAUGAAAUGUCUGAAUCGCAUGGUUCUGGACAUCAAAGAUUUAUCGCUCUGAGAUGGACUCGCGUCUGAUUAGCUGGUUGGCGGGGUAACGGCCCACCAAGGCGACGAUCAGUAGCCGGACUGAGAGGUUGGCCGGCCACAUUGGGACUGAGAUACGGCCCAGACUCCUACGGAAGGCAGCAG